rnacentral:rRNA from 1 species
AAAACUUUACAAUGCCGGCAAAGGCGAUAAGGGGACCUCGAGUGCCAGGUUACAAAUCUGGCUGUCGUGAUGCAUAAAAAGCAUUGCAUAGCAAGGGCCGGGCAAGACCGGUGCCAGCCGCCGCGGUAACACCGGCGGCUCGAGUGGUAACCGUUAUUAUUGGGUCUAAAGGGUCUGUAGCCGGCCGGAUAAGUCUCUUGAGAAAUCCAGCAGCUCAACUGUUGGGCUUUCAGGAGAUACUGUUCGGCUCGAGGCCGGGAGAGGUGAGAGGUACUUCAGGGGUAGGGGUGAAAUCUUGUAAUCCUUGAAGGACCACCAGUGGCGAAGGCGUCUCACCAGAACGGACCUGACGGCAAGGGACGAAAGCUAGGGGCACGAACCGGAUUAGAUACCCGGGUAGUCCUAGCCGUAAACGAUACUCGCUAGGUGUCGGCCACGGUGCGACCGUUGUCGGUGCCGUAGGGAAGCCGUGAAGCGAGCCACCUGGGAAGUACGGCCGCAGGCUGAAACUU